CCUACGGGAGGCAGCAGUAAGGAAUAUUGGUCAAUGGAGGCAACUCUGAACCAGCCAUGCCGCGUGCAGGAAGACGGCCCUAUGGGUUGUAAACUGCUUUUGAACUAGAGAAAACCUUGGUACGUGUACCGAGUUGAUAGUAUAGUUAGAAUAAGCAUCGGCUAACUUCGUGCCAGCAGCCGCGGUAAGACGAAGGAUGCAAGCGUUAUCCGGAUUCAUUGGGUUUAAAGGGUGCGUAGGCGGACUGAUAAGUCAGUGGUGAAAUCUCUCAGCUUAACUGAGAAACUGCCAUUGAUACUGUUAGUCUAGAGUACAGAUGAUGUGGGCGGAAUAUGACAUGUAGUGGUGAAAUACUUAGAUAUGUCAUAGAACACCGAUUGCGAAGGCAGCUCACAAAACUGUAACUGACGCUGAGGCACGAAAGUGCGGGGAUCAAACAGGAUUAGAUACCCUGGUAGUCCGCACCGUAAACGAUGAUUACUCGUUGUUGGCGAUAUGACAGUCAGCGACCAAGCGAAAAGCGAUAAGAAUCCACCUGGGAGUACGCGGCAACGGUGAACUUAAAUGAAUUGACGGNGNGAGAGNGCGAGGCGACGACGAGGGAGAGG
rnacentral:rRNA from 1 species